ensembl:lncRNA
UUGUUGCUGGAGAUUAACCAGAUAAUAUUUUCGUGUGUGAACCCUGUGGUAUUACUUUGUCAAAUAAGAAAGAUAUUGUGCUUAUAUUACUGAAACAUAACAUCUAAAUUAUUAAUAAUUAAUUAAUAUACAUUCUACAGUUAUUUUUUAUUUUAUUUUAUUUUAUUUUAUUUUUAAUAAAUUUCCCACAGAUGUCAGGUAACUACAGGUGUAGCUCAUCACAUCAACUGUGGACAUGAUUCAUUAACAUUUGUUGUCAUUUUUUUACCUCAACCACACCAUACCACAUUUUUUUAAUUUAUUUAUUUAUUUUUUUUCAGCGUAUGGAAAACAGGAGCAUGAACAGCAUUAUUCCUUUCUCACUGGAGAAAGAACAUCUUCCAGAUUUUGGAGCCACAUGAUGUCUGCAGCCUGGGAAAAGCCGCAGCGACACGGCAAACUGUCACUGGCUGGCUGAGGGGGGAGCGCUCUGAGAACAUGAAAGACAAACAACCGCGGUCUGCCGCUGCACCGCUGUCGCCAGGCCUGCCCGUCUGUCUGUGGGGAUCGGAGGUCGGGAGCUGGUGCUGCCGUUGCUGCUGCAGUGGGAGGCCAAUUUCUGGGUGAUCUGAGCUGCGCUGUUUGGUUUAGCCUGACCAGCAGGUCUGGGAACAGCCUGACUGCAGCUUUCACUGGUAAAUAAAGCUGGUCUUCUCCCAGACUGGUUUAGAGAGGUUUUUGCUUUUAGCUUUCAGCUUUCAGAUGGGAGACCAGAGGCGAUCUUAAACAUACUAACACCAACCAUCUUUUUUGUCAGCAGGGUUGGACCAUCAAUAUGCACAUUCAGGCAGCUAAGAUGUAGAUGAGGUUGUUUCUUCAUCAGAACAGAUUUGGAGAAAUUUAGCAUUAUGUAACUUGCUCAUUAAUGGAUCCUCAGCAUUGAAUGGGUGCCGUCAAAAUGAAAGUCCAAACAGCUGAUACAAACAUCACAAUAAUCCACACCCAAUCCAAACUGAUGUAUCUGACUAAAAUACGAGUCCUCUAUCCAUACUUUAUGUGACGAGUGGGGCGGGGCCGAGAGCCGUGGGAACGCAGCGAGGCCGGUGGAGUGAUUGGGAAAUGAUAUAUCCUCGGAUAUCGUCCUCUUUUGGAAGGCCAAAC